rnacentral:rRNA from 1 species
AUUGAACGCUGGCGGCAUGCCUUACACAUGCAAGUCGAACGGCAGCACGGGGGCAACCCUGGUGGCGAGUGGCGAACGGGUGAGUAAUACAUCGGAACGUGUCCUGUCGUGGGGGAUAACCAGUCGAAAGACUGGCUAAUACCGCAUGAGAUCGAGAGAUGAAAGCAGGGGACCGCAAGGCCUUGCGCGAUUGGAGCGGCCGAUGUCGGAUUAGCUAGUUGCGGGUAAAGGCCCACCAAGGCUACGAUCCGUAGCUGGUUUGAGAGAACGACCAGCCACACUGGGACUGAGACACGGCCCAGACUCCUACGGAGGCAGCAGUGGGGAAUUUUGGACAAUGGGGGCAACCCUGAUCCAGCCAUGCCGCGUGUGUGAAGAAGGCCU